AGUCGCUGCACCGAAUCGCAGCAUCCUCCGUCGUCAUCGAUGGAGACGCGCUACGCGAUGGUCAACCAGCGGCACGCCAUUAAUGAGAGCGGAAGAGACCUCAAUGAGAUCGAAGGGCAAGAGGGAAGCGGCGAUCGUGCCGCGCAGCUCCCGGCCCGAAACAUUCCGGUAAAGAGACUUCCGCAAUCUCUUGGCGCUUGAAACAUUUACAAUUCAGGCAUUCAAAAAUGAAGUACAUUGUUCGCGGAUCUGCGUUCCGAAACCGUUACGGCUAUCGAAGGACCUAUCGACCUUGCGCGGUCUACAGCAGCUCUCUACACAGUUCGGCCCAUUAACGAUUAUUCACACACACCCUAUUCGCCUCAUUAUUAUUGACCACGCCUCAUGCCAUUUUCGCGUAGUCGUUAACGCGGAGGGAGAGAGGGGAGAGAGGGGGGAGGGGGAGAAUGAGUUUGCCAAGAGAAAACAAUCCGGCUUUCUUGCUUUAUGUUCUCCCCAGAUCGAUCUCCGCAGGAAUGCCACCGGCUAUCCGGUAGCUGACGACGAUCGGUCUCGGUCGUAACUCUAACCCGCGACAAGACUCGUGAUUUAUGGCGGCAACAAAGACGAAUUCACACGCGAGACCCGUCGUUUUCAAACCCUUAUAAAUGCGUCUCGUAGAAAGCGCGAAUACAAUGAAGUUUUGUCAGGAUUGCUAGACACAUAGUCGAUACGUAUGACGGUCUCCAUUAAACUACGCGCAAAUUGCACGAACUAGUUUGCUUACCUUUCUUGACAGCUUCCAACUUGAUAUACUAAUUUUGGAUGUUUAACAGUAUAUUAAUUACUUAUUUAAAUUUGUUGUACAUAAUAUUAACAAUAUUAGUUUGAAAUCGAAUCUGUUUAUAUUCGCUGUUCGAUAAAUAGAAUUCGAUUACGUAAAAUUCUUUAAAGAGAUCGACUUUGCAAAAUUUGAAAGCCUUUUUUUGAAGCAACUGUAUUACCAGAAGUACAUUAUAUUCUUGAAAAGUGUUUAACUCCCCCUGUGAAAAUUAAAAAAAAAAAGAAAAGAUUUUCAAAGAAACUCAAGAGACUCUGUUAAUUUAAUGCAAAAUGCGUUAUGUAUUUGAUUUUUUAUAAUGCGAACUGAUGUACGGUCCAUCCAUAAUUCGAAGAGAAAUAUGACUUUACCAGCCAUUUUGUAUCAAAACUGAUCUACCUCAUUAAUUUAGUUUAAAUUUAUUAUUUAAUGCUAUCUUAUCUUUGAUUUAAGUAAAAUGAUUUACUUUUGAUAUGUUUUAGUUAACUAAUAGAUUAAACAUAGAUUUUAUAAAUAUAAUCAAUGUUGUUUAAUUAUAGUGUAUUUAAAAACACAUUAUGAAUAUGUAUUGAUAACAAAUUAUACGAUUAUAAAAAAACAUGUAACAUGUGAACUUUUUUAAAUCAAUAAAUUAUUUCGAAAUAUUAAAG